GGGGAAUAUUGGACAAUGGGCGAAAGCCUGAUCCAGCCAUGCCGCGUGUGUGAAGAAGGUCUUCGGAUUGUAAAGCACUUUAAGUUGGGAGGAAGGGUUUCUGGCUAAUAUCCAGGAAUUUUGACGUUACCGACAGAAUAAGCACCGGCUAACUUCGUGCCAGCAGCCGCGGUAAUACGGAGGAUCCGAGCGUUAUCCGGAUUUAUUGGGUUUAAAGGGUGCUCAGGCGGGGGGUUAAGUCGGCGGUGAAAUUUUGCAGCUCAACUGUAAAAGUGCCUUCGAAACUGGUUCCCUUGAGUGCGGAUGAGGUAGGCGGAAUUUGUGGUGUAGCGGUGAAAUGCAUAGAUAUCACGAGGAACUCCGAUUGCGCAGGCAGCUUACCAAGCCGUAACUGACGCUCAAGCACGAAGGCGUGGGGAUCAAACA
rnacentral:rRNA from 1 species